GCCCAGCCAGUAUGGUGGAUGUAACCCUCGGCUUAUAACCGAGUGGGUUCGGGUUCGAAUCCCGAGUAAGGCA